AGCUGCCAUGGAGGGGCUUCAUAAAGGACAAUGAAUCAGUUUGGUAAAUUGUGAAAACAUUGACCUUCUUGACAUGCAAGCUAGGUUGAGCACUAUCCUUGGAGUGACAACCAACAGGCAAUAUUGAUGGUGACAAAUUGAUCUCGCCAAAAUCCAUCCAUCCAUUGUCCAUAGGCCUACCCGCUUGUCUUUGCUGGGGGUGUUGACCAUGUCAUGAUCUCUGACCAGUCUGACAUGUUCCUCGAUCUUCAUCAUUGUGUUUGUUCAACAUUCUCUGACAAACGACUGAGACAUUCAAACUUCUUUUUAAGACAUUUGGUUGCAUUCUGUUUUGGGAGGUUUUCAAAGUAAGGAGCUGAACACAAUGCAUUCCACUCUAGAUUUUUAUUUGUGAAAAAAAAAUGUUG